UACAGAGGUCUCAAGCGUUGUUCGGAUUCAUUGGGCGUAAAGGGUGCGUAGGUGGCGCCGUAAGUCAGGUGUGAAAUUUCGGAGCUUAACUCCGAAACUGCAUUUGAUACUGCGGUGCUUGAGGACUGGAGAGGAGACUGGAAUUUACGGUGUAGCAGUGAAAUGCGUAGAGAUCGUAAGGAAGACCAGUGGCGAAGGCGGGUCUCUGGACAGUUCCUGACACUGGAGGCAACGAAGGCCCAGGGGAGCAAACGGG
rnacentral:rRNA from 1 species